AAAAAAAAAAAAAAGACAGCAAGUGCUUUUUUAUCCUGUUCAAGGUUUCAAGACGCUCAAGUAGUUAAGUCUUUUCCUCUGAGUGAAAUGAAAGCCAACAGCAGGAGGAGAUCACCCGGGCAGAACCAUCUGUUUUCAGGUUUCCUUGUGUCCUAUCAGUAUCCCUGCCAGACGGGUUCCAAUGGUCACUUUCUUAUAACAGCACUGAUAUGCCAAUCGAGGAAGAAAGUUUGGUGGACAUGGCAAAAGUGGCAGCCUUGAGAUGUGCCUCAUAGACCUCUAACUACAAGGAGUGUGGCUAAAUGCAUUGUCACUCCUGCUGCAAAAAGCCCAGGAGAAUGUCUAAACCAGGUUUUCACAAAGGAAAAUAUAUAAAGGCUCAGCCAAAAACCUGUGAGUAUUUGUUUUAGAAAUCUUCCUAAAUAAAUAACUCCUAAUCAUUUAUUUUCAUUAUCAAGAAACUUUUGAUUACUUUAUCAGUGUGGACUUUAUGAUACUUGAAAGAUUUUUGUCUACCUCAAUCUAUGCAAUUAAGCAAUUUUUGAAAAUAUUUUAUUAAUGACUCAGACGUAAAUGCCAAUAAGAAAUUCUAAACAGCAUGAUUUAAUCAAUACAGCGCUAGCAAAGACGAAAAAAUAGUGCUUUACUUAUCUUAUAUUGCUUUUACAUAGGCAAAUGUUUAUUUCUUUUUAUCUUGUGGAAAUACUAAAAUUAUUUUUCAGCUGUCCCACUGAUAGAUUCUUGUAACACUUGAGUCUUGGGGAACCAAAUUUAGAAAAUGCUUCUUUAAAAACUCUGUUGGUUUUCUUCAUUAUCUUGACCUCAAAGAAUGCCUUCUAACAUAGUGCAAACCACAACAGUACCCCAGUGUACCCUCAUAGUAGUAUUAUGGCUCUCUGGAUGGGGAAACAUCUUCCUCUGGAAAAAUAGGCUAAUACUUCUGAUUAUCUUCCAAUGUAAGAAGUAUAAGCAAGUAAGUACUGCAUUCCAAAUGUGGAGAUGUUUUUGUAUGUUACAACUGUAUGAUUUUAAAGCAUUGUGACCUGAAUUAUAAUAUAUGAAUAUAAAAGAAAGCCAGAGAACCAUUAUCAAUUAUUGAAAAAGUUGCAGGAUAUAAAACAUGAUGUAUAUGACAUGUCUUUUUUUCAUCUGUGAACAUGUUUCUUUUACACUAAGUGGAAAACAAUUUGGAGAGAAAACAAAGACCCCAUUAUUAGUCUUGGUGGAGAACGGAAUGAAUUGCUGAACUGCUAGUCCUAUAUUCAUUCAAAUUCAAGGUCCUCGAUUUUUGCGAUGGUCAAAUACACAGAGUGAUGCAAAAGAUAUUGAAAGAUCUUUCCAGAUUAGAAGAAAGAAAAGUAGAAGCAGGAUGAAGAGCUUAUAGAUGAGUAGGCAAAGAAAGGGAUCCCAAAUGGAAGGUUCUGGGGAACAAAGGUACUGCAGGUCCCCAGUAGUCUGAUGAAGCCAAUGCGAGGCAAUGCAAUGACUCUUGAAAGUAAGCUUCAUGGAUAGUGUUUCCGGUCAAGACUGUUCCUGCACCAACACAAAUUUCAUACCAAGCUCGACUGUAAAUUAUUUUCAAACCUAAUCUCUUUUUUCCACAUCUACUCUAAAUGAGCCAUUCCAUCUGGUCUUAGUUUUAGUGUUGCACAACCCUACAUUUGCUUUCCUGUCCUCUCUAUUCCUUUUGGAAAAGGGUGACUAUGUCAACAGCUAUAAAGGAGGGUGUGUAUGUUUGUGUGUGUUUGAAGACAUUUAUCUGUAUAUGUAGUUCUGAUACAGAAAUUGCAGCAAGCCAGAUGCUUCUGGGUAAUGUUUAAUCCCAUCAAUCAAGAUUAUUUUUUAGCUGCUCUUUGUUAAGAUAAUGGAGCUAGGUAUUAAGAAGAGGAUACAUUUAAAACCUUCUAGGAGUUAUUAGUGAAGACAGCUUUUCUUCCCUAUGAUGGAAUGUUCCCCUAGAUCUUUAUUUGGUAUUGAUUUCUCCUGACUUCUAUCCUUUGGGCAACUACCUUCUCUCCACGUCUCUUCUGUAUAAUUCCUCCAUUCCAUACACUCUAGUUCCAAAGGGCACAUGGUGUCUAGGCAAACUACUUGACUUAGGAAUUGUAAGCUUACAGAAUUUAGUUAAAGGGCCUUCAAUAAUAUCUAUACCUGCACGGUGUUUUAAUAAACACAUUAAACUAGUGUUAACUUGUUUAAUCUGUAUGUGCUUAUGGAUUUUAAACAAACUUUUUAAAUUGAAAGAUUCUUUAAAUUUCAUAAUGCUUUACAGUUUUCAAAAAUUUCACAAACAUGAUUUCAUAUAAUACUAUAAUAAUUCUUUUAAUCCCCUACCCUUAUUUUGCCUUCCCCCCUUCCACUAGUAACCAUUGGUAACCACUAGUUUGUUCUCUAAAUCUGCGAGUCUGCUUCUUUUUUUGUUUUAUUCAUUAAUUUGUUAUAUUUUUAGAUUCCACAUAUAAGUGAUAUCAGUAUUUGUCUUUUUCAGUCUGACUUAUUUCACUUAGCAUAAUACCCUCCAAGCCCAUUAAUGUUGCUACAAAUUGCAAAUUUUUGUUAUAUUUUAUGGCUGAGUAGUAUUCCAUUGUGUGUGUGUGUUUAUGUGUGUGUGU